rnacentral:rRNA from 1 species
UGGGGAAUUUUGGACAAUGGGCGAAAGCCUGAUCCAGCAAUGCCGCGUGUGUGAAGAAGGCCUUCGGGUUGUAAAGCACUUUUGUCCGGAAAGAAAUCCUUGGCUCUAAUACAGUCGGGGGAUGACGGUACCGGAAGAAUAAGCACCGGCUAACUACGUGCCAGCAGCCGCGGUAAUACGUAGGGUGCAAGCGUUAAUCGGAAUUACUGGGCGUAAAGCGUGCGCAGGCGGUUUGCUAAGACCGAUGUGAAAUCCCCGGGCUCAACCUGGGAACUGCAUUGGUGACUGGCAGGCUAGAGUAUGGCAGAGGGGGGUAGAAUUCCACGUGUAGCAGUGAAAUGCGUAGAGAUGUGGAGGAAUACCGAUGGCGAAGGCAGCCCCCUGGGGCCAAUACUGACGCUCAUGCACGAAAGCGUGGGGGAGCAAACAGGAUUAGAUACCCUGGUAGUCCACGCCCUAAACGAUGUCAACUAGGUUGUUGGGGAUUCAUUUCCUUAGUAACGUAGCUAACGCGUGAAGUUGACCGCCUGGGGAGUACGGUCGCAAGAUUAAAACUCAAAU